CUCUCGCGCACAGACCUGCACUCCACGUGGCAGUACUACGAGCGCACGGUCACCGUGCCCAUGUACAGGACGCUCCCCAGGGAGCUCAAGGUAAAUGCCC
rnacentral:sRNA from 1 species